rnacentral:rRNA from 1 species
GAUGAACGCUGGCGGCGUGCCUAAUACAUGCAAGUCGAGCGAACAGACGAGGAGCUUGCUCCUCUGACGUUAGCGGCGGACGGGUGAGUAACACGUGGAUAACCUACCUAUAAGACUGGGAUAACUUCGGGAAACCGGAGCUAAUACCGGAUAAUCUAUUGAACCGCAUGGUUCAAUAGUGAAAGACGGUUUUGCUGUCACUUAUAGAUGGAUCCGCGCCGCAUUAGCUAGUUGGUAAGGUAACGGCUUACCAAGGCAACGAUGCGUAGCCGACGUGAGAGAGUGAUAGGCCACACGGGAACUGAGACACGCUCCAGACUCCUGCGGGAGGCAGCAGUAGGGAAUCUGCCGCAAUGGGCGAAAGCCUGACGGAGCAACGCCGCGUGAGUGAUAAAGGUCUUCGGAGCGUAAAACUCUGUUAUUAGGGAAGAACAAAUGUGUAAGUAACUAUGCACGUCUUGACGGUACCUAAUCAGAAAGCCACGGCUAACUACGUG